UUUAUUAACAAUAUCCUUAGC
rnacentral:piRNA from 1 species